AACCUCCACAUUAUUGAUCAAAGAGGCUGAGAUGAAAGAGAAAAUGUCUGUCUAUGUGUAUAUUUAUUUAUUUAUUUAUAUGUGUGUGUGAGUGUAUACAAACUCUGUUUAUGAACUCAGCAAGAAAGAUUAAUUCGUUAGAUCUGUUAACCUCCACUUCAAAGUGUCUGAGUACUGUUGUACAACAACCAAAAGGAUGACAAUGAAUGUUUGUCAUCAAAAAACUAAUUCCCACUUUGUUGCUUUUGACCAUUGUUUGAUGGUGACUCACCUGCUUCAUGCAUAUUUCUUUGUGUCCCCGUCUCUCUUUUUCUGUAUCUGUUUUGUCUGUCUGUUUCUCUCUUGCUCUCUCUAAAUGUAAAUUGAGAGCCCGCCCCCGACGGGUCACUUUACUAAUGUGAAAAGACACAAAUUCACAUGCGUGUUUAGCAUCGGAAUAACCCGGCAUCCAAUCACUGGACAAUACACAUCACCCCUCGCUCUGUCAUCGUGAUGUCACAGGGUGUGUAGAGCAUGUAAGUGUGUUGCGUAGCGAGUGUGGGCACGCGGCAGUGCGGAGCAUCGGCUCAAAUCUGAGAUUUAUUCUUUUGUGUCGAAAACGCAGAGGGCCGUGAAUGAGCAUAAGUGCGGUGAAGUCUCACGGCGCUGCUGCUGGAGGCUGAAUGAUUAUGACUGACCAAAGCCACAAGGAAGAAAACUCUCUACUGGACCAACAGGAAGAGGUCAGAUGGGUUAUUUUCAAUGGACCAAUCAGUACACAGAUUAACAGAGGUAUAGAGGUAAACCGUGCCUAUAGAGGUAAAUCGUUUGUUAAUCAAUAAACUGGAAAAGUAUGGUAUCAGAGGAGUUGCAUUAGAUUGGAUGAAAAGUUACAUAAGUAACAGACUACAAUUUGUUCAAAUGGGGGAGUACAGAUCGGAGUGCUUGGGUAUUACCUGUGGAGUACCACAGGGGUCAAUAUUGGGUCCAAAAUUAUUUAUUAUGUACAUAAAUGACAUAUGUAGGGUGAAUAACCUCUUAAAAUUUGUGAUUUUUGCUGAUGAUACUAAUAUUUUCUGUUCAGUGGAAAAUCUGAAGCAGCUUUUGGAGGUGGUCACAUCAGAAAUCAAUAAGUUAAAAAUAUGGUUUGACUUAAAUAAAUUAUCGUUAAAUCUAGAUAAAACCAAAUUUAUGCUGUUUGGUAAUCGCAAAACUGACACACAAGUAAAAGUUAUGAUUAAUAAUGUUAAAAUAGAAAGAGUCUAUGAAAAUAAAUUUUGGGUGUGAUUCUUGAUCAUAAAAUUUGUUGGAAACCACAUAUCAAAUACGUUAGAACAAAAGUAGCGCAGAGUGUUGGAGUAAUGGGGAAAGCAAGGCAUGUAUUGAGUAAAAAAAGCACUUUUUAUUUUGUAUUGUUCACUUGUGUUGCCUUAUUUAAAUUAUUGUGUUGAAGUAUGGGGCAACACCUACAAAACCACCUUUCAAACAUUAAGCACAAUACAAAAAAGAGCAAUUAGAAUAGUAAAUAAGGUAGGAUAUCAUGAGCAUACUAAUUUACUAUAUUUACUAUAGCACACUCUAAAGUUUAAUGAUCUCGUUAAAUUUAAGACCGCUCAAUUAAUUUAUAAAGCAAUAAAUAAACAGUUGCCUGGAAACAUACAACAGUUAUUUACUGAUAGGGUUGGGGGUUAUAACUUGAGAGGGGAUUUAAAUUUGGGUCAACAUUGGACUCGGACAAAACUCAAAAGUAUGUGUAUUUUGAUUUGUGGGGUGCUUUUGUGGAAUGGUCUGAGCAGUUCGAUCAAACAAAGUGUUAAUAUGUUGCGAUUUAAAAAAAGGUACAAAAGUUUUAUUUUUGAUAAGUAUAGAAGUGGAGAGGGUGAAUGAUAAUUCAUUAUGGCGGUAAAUGCUGCUUGAUAAUGGUUUUUGUAUAUGCUUUUUGUCUUCAUCUUAAUAUUAAGAUAAAGCAUUAUUUUAAUUUAGUAUUUUUUUGUAUUAUUUAAAACGUUAAGUUUGAUUUAUCUUGUUCGAUUGUGAAUUGGUUUGGGUAGUUACUGGGGGUAGGUCUUGAUAAGCCUAGGGCUUCUACCUAUCCCUUUUCGAACUUGUUGAUUAUUAUGUUGAU